CGAGCUCGCAGUGGAGCCCUGGCUCCACCAGGGAGUGCUCCGGCUCUCUGCACAAGACGGAAGCAAUAACACAAAAAAACCGCACACGACAGGAAAGACACGCGCAAGCGGCGGAGGAAACCGCCACCACGACUCGACUCGCGCAUGCGCGACGGGGUUGUUUUUCACAAAGCUGUUCGCAAAGUGAGCUGGUAGUGUGUGGGCAGCUGUCUUUGUGAGAUCGCAGCGCUGGGCGGCUGUCGUCUCUUCAGUAAUUCCGAUGAAGCGUUUGUAGGGGACACGCUGGUCUUGUUGGCAGGUUCUUUGUGUGGCAGAGGCGUUGUUCAGUCUAAAGUGAAGAUCGCAUUUUGUAUGAGACCUUGACUUUUUUUUUCUUACAGUAUAUUUUUAUAGACUUUGUUAUAAAAUAUGGUGCUGGGAAAGGUGAAGAGUUUGACGAUAAGCUUUGACUGUCUCAAUGACAGCAAUAUCCCUGUCUAUUCUAGCGGGGACACAGUCUCAGGAAGGGUCGGUUUAGAAGUUACUGGGGAUAUUAGAGUAAAAUCUCUUAAAAUUCAUGCAAGAGGACGUGCAAAAGUACGUUGGACUGAAUCUAGAAAUGCUGGAUCCAACACUGCCUAUACACAAAAUUACACUGAAGAAGUAGAGUAUUUUAACCAUAAGGACGUUCUACUCGGGCACGAAAGAGAUGAUGACAAUUCUGAAGAAGGCCUUCACACCAUUCAUUCAGGAAGGCAUGAAUAUGCAUUCAGCUUUGAGCUUCCACAGAUACCACUUGCUACCUCAUUCGAAGGCAGACAUGGCAGUGUACGCUAUUGGGUGAAAGCUGAAUUGCAUAGGCCUUGGCUUCUACCAGUAAAAUUAAAGAAGGAAUUUACAGUCUUUGAACAUAUAGAUAUCAACACUCCUUCGUUACUGUCACCCCAAGCAGGCACAAAAGAAAAGACUCUCUGUUGUUGGCUUUGUACCUCAGGCCCGAUAUCCUUAAGUGCCAAAAUUGAAAGAAAGGGCUAUACCCCAGGUGAAUCAAUUCAGAUCUUUGCUGAGAUUGAGAAUUGCUCUUCCCGUAUGGUGGUGCCAAAGGCAACCAUUUACCAAACACAGGCAUUCUAUGCCAAAGGGAAAAUGAAGGAAGUCAAACAGCUUGUUGCCAACCUCCGUGGGGAAUCCUUGUCAUCUGGCAAAACGGAAACCUGGAAUGGCAAACAGUUGAAAAUUCCACCUGUUUCCCCUUCAAUCCUUGACUGUAGUAUAAUCCAUGUGGAGUAUUCAUUGAUGGUAUAUGUUGAUAUUCCAGGAGCCAUGGAUUUAUUCCUUAACUUACCACUGGUCAUUGGUACCAUUCCUCUACAUCCAUUUGGUAGCAGAACAUCAAGUGUGAGCAGCCAGGGUAGCAUGAACAUGAAUUGGCUUGGUCUGACGCUGCCUGAAAGACCAGAAGCACCUCCCAGCUAUGCAGAAGUGGUCACAGAGGAAAACAGACAGUCCAGCCUUGCACCUAUAGAUGCUUUUGAUGAUUUUGAGAGAGCCCUUCAAGGACCAUUAUUUGCAUAUAUCCAGGAGUUCCGUUUUCUGCCUCCGCCCCUAUAUUCAGAAGUUUAUUUUUAACAUGAACUCUGCAACCUUAAAUUUAAAAGGUGCUCUGUGAGGUGCCUUGGCUUCUCUAUCAUGCUAUUUCCUGCAGCUGCAGACCUGGAAGAUUGAUCCAAACCCAGAUCAGCCCACAGAUGAGAGACCAUCUUGCCCCUCUUGUUGAAGGAAUCCAUAAAAAGCUGACUUGACUUGGGUUUUGAAUCACACCUGCUGUGUUGAAGAUCAAGGUGUCAUAGUGGAGACUUGCUUUUAAAGGAAAUGGUAUUGCUAUGCUUGUAUAGUGAAUAAAUGAAAACAACCUGUGAUCAUACUUUGACACCUGCAGCACAUCAUAGGACUGUUCCACAUGCUUGAAAACCUGAGGCCCCCUCCCUUAAAUAGUGGCACAUACUAGGAGCAACCUUACUAGUGUACAGUCGUGUUUCAAAAAACUCAAACCACGUUGUAAGGGAGAAAUGGCUGCUUCUUAUGAUUUGAAAAUUUGCACAUGCUUAUUGCUUAUGUUAUGCAGUUCAGUGUCACUACAGCUUUUUCUCAUUUAUGAUGGACUGUUGUUACCACCCCCCCCCCAAUUGUUUGUGAUCUGCACAACAAGGAACAAAAGAAAGCUUUGACAAAAAAAAAAAAGGCGAUGAAGACUGACAAAUGCACUGACUUUUUUUAAAUUUAAUGUAGCCUGGACUUUACCUGCAUAUGCACAUGCUCAGAAUUGUCCUAGUAGGCUGAUCAUGUAUCAUCUCUUCAGCUUGGGUCCUAUUGUGGAUUUAUUUACAAACAUCACAUGCCUUUAAGCCAAUCCUUCUUGCUGUAUGUUUUGCAGCCAACUGUAGUAGACAAGCAACAGAUAUGUGGGGGUGGGGGCAGAGAUAACAGAAGGAAACCAAUAAGAGGCUUUAUCAAGAUUGUAUACCUUCUUGAUUUCUUUUAAUAAUUUGUUGCCUUUCUGCUAUUAUUGCAAAGCAACAUUUUUGUUACAGACUGCUUAAAGAUCACUUAAUCUCAGGUGAACUCAUCACUUGCCAAACUGUUAGAAUGCUAUUUGUUUUGUUACAUUGCACUGUUGAGUUAUUUCUUUUUGUUUUGUGUUCAUGAUUUGGUUUUGUUCUUUGAGGGGGAUUCUGAAUGGGGACAUGCACAAAACUUAUGAAGUGAAAGCAGCACCAGCAGCCACUAGUAAAGUGUGAAAAGAACUUUAAAAGGGGAUAGUCGUAUGCUGUCCAGGGUUCAUAGGCAGAGAGAUAUCUCAACUAGUAAGGAUGGGAAGGAGAAGGUUUGUUUGUUGGUUUGUGUUUGUGUUUUUAAAAUAAUACGUAGUUACCUAAUCACCAAAAAUUAUAUGUAAAAUGAGUCUCCAGUAGAAAGUAUAUUUCAGACUGCAAGAAAAGUUUGAACUAUGACAACAGCUCAGUUUGUGCACUUUGUAUUAUCUUCAGGGUUUAAGAUACUGUAUCAUAGAAUUAUAGAAUACCAGGUUGGAAGGGACCUCAAGGAUCAUCUGGUCCAACCUUUCUUGGCAAAAGCACGGUCUAGACAAGAUGGCCCAGCACCCUGUCCAGCCGAAUCUUAAAAGUGUCCAAUGUUGGGGAAUCCACCGCUUCCCUGGGGAGAUUAUUCCAAUGGCUGAUUGUUCUCAUUGUGAAAAAUUUUCCUCUUGUGUCCAGUUGGAAUCUCCCUAGGAGGAACUUGUACCCAUUACCCCUUGUCUUUUCCAUGUGACUCCUUGUAAAAAGGGAGUCUCCAUUUUCUUUGUAGCCACCCUUUAAAUACUGGAACAUGGUGAUAAGGUCUCCCCUAAGCCUUCUUUUCUCAAGGCUGAACAAACCCAGUUCUCUCAGCCUUCGCUCAUAUGGCAGGCUUCCCAGUCCUUUGAUCAUCUUUGUGGCCCUUCUCUGGACCCUCUCCAGCCUGUCCACAUCUUUUUUGCAUAGCGGGGACCAAAACUGAACACAGUAUUCCAGGUGUGGCCUGACAAGUGCUGAGUGGGAUAAUGACUUCUUUAUCUCUGCUGGUGAUGCCCUUGUUGAUGCAACCCAGCAUCCUGUUGGCUUGCUUUGCCACAGCAGCACGCUGUUCGCUCAUAUUGAGCUUGUUGUCCAUCAGGACCCCCAGGUCCCUUUCCACAGAGCUGCUCCCCAGCCGGGUAGAUCCCAGCCUGUGCUGCACUCCUUGAUUAUGUUUUCCCAGGUGCAAGACCUUACACUUGUCCUUGUUGAACUUCAUAAGGUUCUUGUUAACCCACUCUUCCAGCCUAUCCAGGUCUUCCUGCAGGGUGGCUCUCCUUUCUGAAGUGUCCACUUCCCCACUCAGUUUGGUAUCAUCGGCAAACUUCAUCAGGAUACACUUGAUCCCAUCAUCCAGAUCACUUAUGAAGGUAUUAAACAGCGUUGGGCCCAAUAUUGAUCCCUGGGGGACCCCACUUGUGCCAGGUUGCCAGUUUGAAAAGGAGCUAUUUACCACCACCCUCUGGGUGCGGCCUGUCAGCCAGUUCCCCACUCACCACACGGACCACUUGUCUAGACCGUAAUGCAUCAGUUUCUCUAGGAAGAGGCUGUGGGAAACUGUAUCGAAAGUGUUGGAGAAAUCCAGGUAGACAAUGUCCACUGCUCGCCCCACAUCAACCGAGCAGGUUACUUUGUUGUAGGUGGCGAUCAAGUUUGUCAAGCACAAUUUGCCCUUGGUGAAUCCGUGCUGGCUUUUCCCAAUCACGUGCUUCAUUUGACUUGUGAUAGUCCCCAGGAGGAUUUGUUCCAUAGCUUUCCCAGGGACUGAAGUAAGACUGAUGGGCCUAUAAUUUCCUGGAUCCUCCUUUAAGCCCUUCUUGUAGAUGGGGGUGACAUUAGCCUUCUUCCAGUCUUCUGGGAUGUCCCUGAUCUCCAUGACUUCUCAAAGAUUAUGGAGAGCGGCCUCGCAACAACGUCAGCCAGCUCUCUUAACGCCCUCGGGUGGAUAUUGUCAGGGCCCAUUGAUUUGUAGGGGUCAAGCUCCUGUAAUAGUUCACAUACCAACUCUUCCUUCACUGAUGGUGGGUCUGUGUUUGCAUCAACGUGAAUUUUUGUUCCCAAGGCCUGGGGCCCAACAGUGCUGGUAAAGACAGAGGGGAAAAAAGUGUUGAGAACCUCUGCCUUUUCAGCGUUGUUGGUGACUAAUUCACCUCUCCUGUUUAACAGUGGGUCAAUAUUUUCCUUCUGUUUCUGCUUGUUGUUUAUGUACCUGAAGAACCCUUUCUUGUAGUUUUUGACAUCUCUGGUCAAUUUCAACUUGAGCUGAGCUUUUGCUUUUCUAACUGCAUCUCUGCACGCCCUGGCAAUGCCCUUGUAGUUCUCAACGGGUAUUUGUCUGCUUUUCCAUCUCUGGUACGCUUCUCUUUUGGUUUUGAGCAGACUCAGAAGCUCACAGUUAAGCCAAGGGUGUCUCUUGCUCCGCCUACUUCCCUUACCUUUAAAGGGGAUGAACUGCUUUUGUGCUUCCAGGAGAAGGGGGUUUUGUGCUCAGAAGGGAGGGGGAGAGAGAAAGCUGGUGUUUCUGCAUUGUGCUCAUUCUUACAAAGUUCUGCCUUAUUUUUAAGGCUUCAUAAAUAUGACAAAAUAGGCUUUUCAUAAGUGGCCUUUAUGAGAACAUGAAAGCUAUUUCAUGUUUCAAAAAUGAUGACAGGGUGAUUACAACGAGAGUCACGUUUUAAGUGAUUCAGUUCAAAGGUUUGGGCUUUGAUAAGCAAGAAUUGGAAAUUGGGUGAUGUCUUAUGAUGGCCAAUUUUGUGAAUGUCCCUUCCUUCUACCCUCUCCAACCAGACAAAAUUUUAAAAGUUGGUAAGAUUUUUGACAUAAAAGGGCAUUUGGUAAUUUUUACUGGUUUUUUGUUGUUUUAAUAGACUAGGGAACAAUUGCUGAUAUACAUAGCAUUAAAGUACUUAUCCCAGUAUAAUGGAAAACUAUGAAGCAGAAUUGACCAAUGUUGUAGUAAUUGACAUUGCAUCACAGGCUGUGAUCAGAGUGAAAUAUUCUAAAACCUUAUCAAAUAAAGACUUCCCAUUUAAACUUU